UGGCGGAAUGCUUUACACAUGCAAGUCGAGCGGCAGCGCGGGGCAACCUGGCGGCGAGCGGCGAACGGGUGAGUAACACAUCGGAACAUGUCCAAUCGUGGGGGAUAGCCCGGCGAAAGCCGGAUUAAUACCGCAUACGCCCGAGAGGGGAAAGCCGGGGACCGCAAGGCCUGGCGCGACUGGGUUGGCCGAUGUCCGAUUAGCUAGUCGGUGAGGUAAAGGCUCACCAAGGCGAUGAUCGGUAGCUGGUCUGAGAGGAUGAUCAGCCACACUGGGACUGAGACACGGCCCAGACUCCUACGGGAGGCAGCAGUGGGGAAUUUUGGACAAUGGGGGCAACCCUGAUCCAGCCAUUCCGCGUGAGUGAAGAAGGCCUUCGGGUUGUAAAGCUCUUUUGUCCGGAACGAAACGGUGAGCGUGAAUAUCGCUCGCCACUGACGGUACCGGAAGAAUAAGCACCGGCUAACUACGUGCCAGCAGCCGCGGUAAUACGUAGGGUGCGAGCGUUAAUCGGAAUUACUGGGCGUAAAGCGUGCGCAGGCGGUUUUGUAAGCCAGAUGUGAAAUCCCCGGGCUUAACCUGGGAAUGGCAUUUGGGACUGCAAGGCUGGAGUUUGGCAGAGGAGACUGGAAUUCCUGGUGUAGCAGUGAAAUGCGUAGAUAUCAGGAGGAACACCGAUGGCGAAGGCAGGUCUCUGGGCUGAAACUGACGCUCAUGC
rnacentral:rRNA from 1 species